AUUUUUAUAGUAUAUAUAAGCUUAUCGAACCAAGUAAUAGGUUAUUCAAGAUUGGCUUGAAAACUUAACAAGCUUAAAAUUGUGUUUAAGUUUGGUUUGUUUACAUAAUAAGUCGAUCUCAAACAAGCUUUUAAUGAGCCAAACACGAGUCAAACUUGAGUAGCUUGGUUCAUUUAACAGCCCUAAAAAUAAUGUUGGUUUUAAACCUUGACUUUAUAAACCUAUAUGUGAAAGAACCUUUUAUGGGCUGAUGUGUGGUCUGAUUAAUUUUGUUUGAAGAUAGAAGUGGGGAUUCUGUUUGAAAAUAGUUGUUCAAAAUAAAUUCCACGAAGUUGAUUCGUGGUGUCCCUUUAUGCAGAAGUCUUAGUCUAGCUGAUCAUGACAUGCUUUACUGAAGAAGAUAUGAAAGUGAUGCAACCUAUGUUCUAUAAAUAGUUCUGGCAUUUUCUUUGGAGAAUGAAAUAUCAGUAAAUCUGGCUUAAAUAGAUAGUUAAAUCUCCAUUCACUCACAAGGAAUUGACAAUUAACAAUGGUCAAUAAAACAGAGAACAUGCUGAAAAUUUCUAAGACAUGCAAUAAACUUAAUUCUAAUGUUUUUAAAAUGUCACAAUUUACUUCAAGCAACAUAACAAUUGACAUGUAACAACUGCAAAAUUAAAGAGAAGAAAAAUUGCCAUAACUCGAAGCAACACUAAAUCUAAAAUUAUAGUUGAAAUUAUUCAGGCUUCUAUUGCAAAAUCAUACAGUGAUCGGAUGUAAACAAUAGGAAACACGAUUAGAGAGAUGGGACAAAAAUGAUUAGAUAAGAAGAUUGUAAGUGGGAAAACAAUGAUCAAGGGAUAGAAUGGAAGGGGGUGAGCAAUGUAGAGGAAGUAGGAAACUCACCAAGAUGUAUAACAAGAGAAGAUGGAAAAGAACAAGAGAACAGAGAGAGAGAGAAAAGAAGAGGGAGAAUAGCUGCAGCUCUUGAUUGCAACACAAGGCUUAGUUUGGUUUGUUUUGGUUUGGAAAUUAAUGCUAGGGAGAGAUGUUAUAGUCAUUUAUUUGGCUCCAGAGUAGCUACGGGAAGUAGGUUGUCUGGCAUUAUUGUUGAAUGUGGUUCACAAUGAAAGCUUCUCAGAUUCCAUGAGUUGGUGGCAUAUGUUAAAAGACAUUUUCUCUUCUGGUGUUUUCUUCACAAUAUUUUAAUUGGUGACUGCCAUUUUCUUAGGCUCUAUUUGGUAGAGCUUCGGAACGUUAGUUCUAGGCUUUGAUUUGCACAUGGUGUUUGUUUACGGUUUUCAAAAAUUAAUUCUACUGACUUUUGAAAACUUUGUCCAAGGCAGGCAAAUUUGGGCUAACCGGUCGUCCCACCGGUUGACUGGAACAGUGCAUUUUUUUUUGACGGUUCCAUAUAUAAAGUGGUCUUUCAGUACUAUCAAUAUUCUGAUGCACAAAUCAGGGAGAUGAAGUGUGAUAAUGUCUACAUUGUUAAUAACUCAUGCUGAGAACGAUGCGAAAGAUUGUUGUGAGUUACAUUACAUCUAUGAAUGAUAUUCGAGGGGUUGGUCAUUUUGCUUGCCAAAAAUAUGUGAAAAGGGGCUCCUCUGUUGGAUUGUGGGAGUGUCAUCUUGGAUUGGCUGGUUAGUGUACUUCAUAAAUGCUUUAGUUAUUUAUGUCUUCUCAAAAAAAAAUUUGGCAUUCAACAAUUGAGUAGAGCUUUUGAGAUGCAUAUGUCAACUUAUUUCUUUAUUAUAUAUGAAUGGCCAUUUUAUCCAUUUUAAAUGUAUAAUGUUGUCAAUGCAUACAAUAAAAUCUGAAGUAUUGGGUACUAAAGUUAAAUUUCAUGAUUGAAGAUCAGAAUUGGUUUCUCUUUUUA